CGUUGGUGGGCGUGGAGGCCACAGGGGCAUAGGCUAACAAGGAGACAGAACUGAACCUCACAUCACCCUGCUUGGCCCCAGAAGAUGGCUGGUUAGCCAAAGACGGGUAAGAUUCCUCAGGGAGGAACGACCUAAGACAGGCACAGUCGCAGAGGGGCCAGCAGGAGAGAACUUGGGGGUCAACAGAGGUGGGGCAAAGAUCCUCACCCGCCCAAUUAUGCAGGGGCCUGAACACUUGCCCCUUCUGAGGGAGGUCUCCUGCCCCCAUGGCUGCUUCUCGCUUCCCACAUCCAGCUCAGAUUGGGACCCAGAAAAAGACAGACUGGCUGACAGCAGCUGCCCUCUCACUGCAACAGGACUUG